ACAGUGGACGCGAGCAUCUGUGGCCAAGUUUUUAAGGGCGCACGGUGGAUGCCUUGGCACCAGGAACCGAUGAAGGACGUGGGAGGCCACGAUAGUCCCCGGGGAGUCGUCAACCAGGCUUUGAUCCGGGGGUUUCCGAAUGGGGAAACCCGGCAGUCGUCAUGGGCUGUCACCCGCUGCUGAACACAUAGGCAGUGUGGAGGGAACGCGGGGAAGUGAAACAUCUCAGUACCCGCAGGAAGAGAAAACAACCGUGAUUCCGGGAGUAGUGGCGAGCGAAACCGGAUGAGGCCAAACCGUAUGCGUGUGAGACCCGGCAGGGGUUGCGUAUACGGGGUUGUGGGAUCUCUCUUCCACGGUCUGCCGGCCGUGGGACGAGUCAGAAACCGUUGAUGUAGGCGAAGGACAUGCGAAAGGUCCGGCGUAGAGGGUAAGACCCCCGUAGUCGAAACAUCAGCGGCUCGUUUGAGAGACACCCAAGUAGCACGGGGCCCGAGAAAUCCCGUGUGAAUCUGGCGGGACCACCCGCUAAGCCUAAAUAUUCCCUGGUGACCGAUAGCGGAUAGUACCGUGAGGGAAUGGUGAAAAGUACCGCGGGAGCGGAGUGAAAUAGUACCUGAAACCGUGUGCCUACAAGCCGUGGGAGCGUCGGAAUGUGCUUGCACAUUCUCGUGACUGCGUGCCUUUUGAAGAAUGAGCCUGCGAGUUUGCGGUGUGUUGCGAGGUUAACCCGGGUGGGGUAGCCGUAGCGAAAGCGAGUCCGAACAGGGCGUUUCAGUAGCACGCUCAAGACCCGAAGCGGAGUGAUCUAGCCAUGGGCAGGUUGAAGCGGAGGUAAGACUUCGUGGAGGACCGAACCCACCAGGGUUGAAAACCUGGGGGAUGACCUGUGGUUAGGGGUGAAAGGCCAAUCAAACUCCGUGAUAGCUGGUUCUCCCCGAAAUGCAUUUAGGUGCAGCGUCGUGUGUUUCUUGCCGGAGGUAGAGCACUGGAUAGGCGAUGGGCCCUACCGGGUUACUGACCUUAGCCAAACUCCGAAUGCCGGUAAGUGAGAGCGCGGCAGUGAGACUGUGGGGGAUAAGCUCCAUGGUCGAGAGGGAAACAGCCCAGAGCAUCGACUAAGGCCCCUAAGCGUACGCUAAGUGGGAAAGGAUGUGGAGUCGCAGAGACAACCAGGAGGUUGGCUUAGAAGCAGCCACCCUUGAAAGAGUGCGUAAUAGCUCACUGGUCUAGUGAUUCCGCGCCGACAAUGUAGCGGGGCUCAAGCGUACCGCCGAAGUCGUGUCAUUGCAGCAUAAAGCCCCAACGGGUGCUGUGAUGGGUAGGGGAGCGUCGUGUGCCGGGUGAAGCAGCACCGGAAGGUAGUUGUGGACGGUUCACGAGUGAGAAUGCAGGCAUGAGUAGCGAUUCACACGUGAGAAACGUGUGCGCCGAUUGACUAAGGGUUCCUGGGUCAAGCUGAUCUGCCCAGGGUAAGUCGGGACCUAAGGCGAGGCCGACAGGCGUAGUCGAUGGAUAACCGGUUGAUAUUCCGGUACCCGCUGUGAAGCGUCAAACAUUGAACCAGGCGAUGCUAAGUCCGUGAAGCCGCCCCGGAGCCUUCGGGCAAGGGGGAGUGGUGGAGCCGACGGACCAGACCUGUAGUAGGUGAGUGAUGGGGUGACGCAGGAAGGUAGUCCAGCCCGGGCGGUGGUUGUCCCGGGGUAAGGGUGUAGGGCGAACGGUAGGCAAAUCCGCCGUUCAUGGAGCCUGAGACCUGAUGCCGAGCCGAUUGUGGUGAAGUGGAUGAUCCUAUGCUGUCGAGAAAAGCCUCUAGCGAGUUUCAUGGCGGCCCGUACCCUAAACCGACUCAGGUGGUCAGGUAGAGAAUACCGAGGCGUUCGGGUGAACUAUGGUUAAGGAACUCGGCAAAAUGCCCCCGUAACUUCGGGAGAAGGGGGGCCACGCCUGGUGAGGGGACUUGCUCUCCGAGCUGGGGGUGGCCGCAGAGACCAGCGAGAAGCGACUGUUUACUAAAAACACAGGUCCGUGCGAAGCCGUAAGGCGAUGUAUACGGACUGACGCCUGCCCGGUGCUGGAACGUUAAGGGGACCGGUUAGUCACAUUUCGGUGUGGCGAAGCUGAGAACUUAAGCGCCAGUAAACGGCGGUGGUAACUAUAACCAUCCUAAGGUAGCGAAAUUCCUUGUCGGGUAAGUUCCGACCUGCACGAAUGGCGUAACGACUUCUCGACUGUCUCAACCAUAGGCCCGGUGAAAUUGCACUACGAGUAAAGAUGCUCGUUUCGCGCAGCAGGACGGAAAGACCCCGGGACCUUUACUACAGUUUGAUAUUGGUGUUCGGUUCGGCUUGUGUAGG
rnacentral:rRNA from 1 species